UACGUAGGGCGCAAGCGUUAUCCGGAAUUAUUGGUCGUAAAGAGCUCGUAGGCGGUUUGUCGCGUCUGCUGUGAAAGACCGGGGCUCAACUCCGGUUCUGCAGUGGGUACGGGCAGACUAGAGUGCAGUAGGGGAGACUGGAAUUCCUGGUGUAGCGGUGAAAUGCGCAGAUAUCAGGAGGAACACCGAUGGCGAAGGCAGGUCUCUGGGCUGUAACUGACGCUGAGGAGCGAAAGCAUGGGGAGCGAACAGG
rnacentral:rRNA from 1 species